UACGGAGGAUGCGAGCGUUAUCCGGAUUUAUUGGGUUUAAAGGGUGCGUAGGCGGGUUAUCAAGUCAGCGGUAAAAUCGUGGAGCUCAACUCCAUCCAGCCGUUGAAACUGAUGAUCUUGAGUGGGCGAGAAGUAUGCGGAAUGCGUGGUGUGGCGGUGAAAUGCAUAGAUAUCACGCAGAACUCCGAUUGCGAAGGCAGCAUACCGGCGCCCGACUGACGCUGAAGCACGAAAGCGUGGGUAUCGAACAGG
rnacentral:rRNA from 1 species